AGUCGGUGAGGUAACCUUUUGGAGCCAGCCGCCUAAGGUGGGAUAGAUGAUUGGGGUGAAGUCGUAACAAGGUAGCCGUAUCGGAAGGUGCGGCUGGAUCACCUCCUUU
rnacentral:rRNA from 1 species